rnacentral:misc_RNA from 1 species
UGAGCCAGAGAUGUGUGGUAAUGGAAUUCGAUGCCUUGCCAAAUUUAUAGCUGAGCUUGAGAAUUUCCAUGGAAAGAAAAGUUUCACCAUACAUACAGGGGCUGGACUUAUAGUUCCUGAAAUCCAAGAUGAUGGAAAGGUUAGGGUUGACAUGGGUGAGCCCAUUCUAAAGGCAGCAGAUGUGCCCACUAAACUACCCCCUAACAGAGAUCAAUCUGUCGUUAAAUCAAGUCUAGAUGUAGAUGGAAGCACAUGGAAUGUAACCUGUGUUAGCAUGGGGAAUCCCCAUUGUGUCACUUUUGGUACAGCACAGCAGGACUUGCAAGUAGAUGAACUAAAAUUAGCAGACAUUGGUCCAAAGUUUGAACAUCAUGAGAUGUUUCCUGCUCGCACGAACACAGAAUUUGUUCAAGUUUUCUCCCCAACACACCUUAAAAUGCGUGUCUGGGAACGUGGUGCAGGCGAGACACUAGCCUGUGGGACAGGAGCUUGUGCCGUAGUUGUUGCAGCAGUUCUUGAGGGCCGUGCUGCAAGGCGUUGUACUGUUGAUCUGCCUGGUGGACCACUUGACAUUGAGUGGAGUGAGAAAGACAACCAUAUAUACAUGACGGGGCCAGCAGAGGUAGUUUUCUAUGGGUCAGCUCCUCUUUGAGCCCCUAAAUGUAAGUUUAUUUGUACUUCAUCCUUUCUGUAAGUUCCAGAAUUCAUAAAUUUGCUCUAAAUCUUUGCCAACUUCGUUGGAGAAUGAAAGAAAUGCAGACGAAUUGAUCUUGGA